rnacentral:tmRNA from 1 species
GGGGGUGACUUUGGCUUCGACGGGGUUGAAGAGGCAAUGAACUGCGCAUCGUGUUCCUCCGGAGUACACGUUAAACAACCGGAAAAAAACAAUAACUGGCGAAUAUAAUUACGCCUUAGCUGCUUAAUUUAAUUUAACAGCCGUUCACUAAUUUUUUUCGUACUGGGAAUUAGAUGAACGUCGUUUAAGUACGAUAGCCUAAUCUACCGCUCUUGUAGAUAAAGCGAAUCCGCCUUUGGCGGUUAAUGAGCAGGCUUAAAGUGACCCUUGUCUGUUUGGUAGCUUUAAGCUAAAAUAAAAAUAGACUAUGUGUGUAGACGUUUAUUGGAUCUUAACUUCGGACGCGGGUUCGAUUCCCGCCACCUCCACUC